rnacentral:misc_RNA from 1 species
GAUGAAGAACGUAGUGAAAUGCGAUAAGUAAUGUGAAUUGCAGAAUUCAGUGAAUCAUCGAAUCUUUGAACGCACAUUGCGCCCAUUAGUAUUCUAGUGGACAUGCCUGUUCGAGCGUCAUUAAGUCCACUUAAGCCCUGCUUAGUGUUGGGAGACUGCUCCAGCGGUGCUACCCUGUAGCUACCCUGCAGCUCCUCAAAGACAGCGGCGGAGUUGUGGUAUCCUCUGAGCUUAGUAACUUGUUCUAGCUUUCGAGUACACCACUUCCCCUGCCGUAAAACCCUUAAUUUUUAAUGGUUGACCUCGGAUCAGGUAGGAAUACCCGCUGAACUUAAGCAUAUCAAUAAGCGGAGGA